rfam:Candidatus Magnetomorum sp. HK-1 HK1c2425, whole genome shotgun sequence.
UUAGAGCGCCGGCCUGUCACGCCGGAGGUCGCGAGUUCGAGUCUCGUCGUCCCCG